GCGCAAUCCGCUAAACGGUCAGGCCGUGGCGCGGAAGGUUUUGUAACCCGCACUUCCUCGAGAAACUCGAAGAAAGGUGAGCG
rfam:Candidatus Burkholderia verschuerenii strain TZHbot4 BVERctg173, whole genome shotgun sequence.